rnacentral:rRNA from 1 species
AUGAACGCUGGCGGCGUGCCUAAUCCCUGCAAGUCGAGCGAACAGACGAGGAGCUUGCUCCUCUGACGUUAGCGGCGGACGGGUGAGUAACACGUGGAUAACCUACCUAUAAGACUGGGAUAACUUCGGGAAACCGGAGCUAAUACCGGAUAAUAUAUUGAACCGCAUGGUUCAAUAGUGAAAGACGGUUUUGCUGUCACUUAUAGCUGGAUCCGCGCCGCAUUAGCUAGUUGGUAAGGUAACGGCUUACCAAGGCAACGAUGCGUAGCCGACCUGAGAGGGUGAUCGGCCACACUGGAACUGAGACACGGUCCAGACUCCUACGGGAGGCAGCAGUAGGGAAUCUUCCGCAAUGGGCGAAAGCUUGACGGAGCAACGCCGCGUGAGUGAUGAAGGUCUUCGGAUCGUAAAACCCUGUUAUUAGGGAAGAACAAAUGUGUAAGUAACUAUGCACGUCUUGACGGUACCUAAUCAGAAAGCCACGGCUAACUACGUG